UACGAAGGGGGCUAGCGUUGCUCGGAAUCACUGGGCGUAAAGCGCACGUAGGCGGAUUGUUAAGUCAGGGGUGAAAUCCUGGAGCUCAACUCCAGAACUGCCUUUGAUACUGGCGAUCUCGAGUCCGGGAGAGGUGAGUGGAACUGCGAGUGUAGAGGUGAAAUUCGUAGAUAUUCGCAAGAACACCAGUGGCGAAGGCGGACUUACUGGUCCGGUUCUGACGCUGAGGCGCGAAAGCGUGGGGAGCGAACAGG
rnacentral:rRNA from 1 species